rnacentral:rRNA from 1 species
CACGUAGGGCGCAAGCGUUUGUCCGGAAUUAUUGGGCGUAAAGAGCUCGUAGGCGGUCUGUUGCGUCCGCUGUGAAAACCCGGGGCUUAACCCCUGGCUUGCAGUGGAUACGGACAGACUAGAGGUAGGUAGGGGAGAAUGGAAUUCCCGGUGUAGCGGUGAAAUGCGCAGAUAUCGGGAGGAACACCGGUGGCGAAGGCGGCAUCCUGGACUACUACUGACGCUGAGGGAGCGAAAGCCAGGGGAGCAAAGCGGG